rnacentral:rRNA from 1 species
UACGGAGGGUGCAAGCGUUAAUCGGAAUUACUGGGCGUAAAGCGCGCGUAGGCGGUUGGGUAAGUCAGAUGUGAAAGCCCCGGGCUCAACCUGGGAACUGCAUUUGAUCCUGCCCGACUCGAGUAUGGUAGAGGGGGGUGGAAUUCCCGGAGUAGCGGUGAAAUGCGUAGAUAUCGGGAGGAACACCAGUGGCGAAGGCGGCCCCCUGGACCAAUACUGACGCUGAGGUGCGAAAGCGUGGGGAGCAAACAGG